rnacentral:rRNA from 1 species
GACGAACGCUGGCGGCGUGCUUAACACAUGCAAGUCGAACGGAAAGGCCCUGCUUUUGUGGGGUGCUCGAGUGGCGAACGGGUGAGUAACACGUGAGUAACCUGCCCUUGACUUUGGGAUAACUUCAGGAAACUGGGGCUAAUACCGGAUAGGAGCUCCUGCUGCAUGGUGGGGGUUGGAAAGUUUCGGCGGUUGGGGAUGGACUCGCGGCUUAUCAGCUUGUUGGUGGGGUAGUGGCUUACCAAGCCUUUGACGGGUAGCCGGCCUGAGAGGGUGACCGGCCACAUUGGGACGGAGAUGCGGCCCAGACUCCUACGGGAGGCAGCAGUGGGGAAUAAUGAACAAUGGGAGGAAGCCUGAUGCAGCAACGCCGCGUGCGGGAUGACGGCCUUCGGGUUGUAAACCGCUUUCGCCUGUGACGAAGCGUGAGUGACGGUAAUGGGUAAAGAAGCACCGGCUAACUACGUG